GGGAGGAGUCAUGCGCUGUGUUCAAAGUGGCUGUCGCAGUCUCUAAGGAGACAGGUAAAUCUCCUGAUGCUACAAUCAGAUUGGUGAAGAAGAUCCGUUCCUGCUGCAAGUCGCCUGCCUUCCGGCUUCUCGGAGGUGAAAUUCCCCUGCACCUCUUUGGAGCCUCCAGAGCCUGGGGGGCACCGUUUUGGAAGGAGCUGAAGUUUUCCAUCCAGUCGGGGAGGAGUACAUGGCUUCUCUGCAGGAGACGGAUGGCCUGGCCGGCACGGAGGGUCCUGGGACGCUGCCACCAAGCAGGCUUCCCUCGUGUUUGCAGGGCUCUCAGGCCAUUUCAAGGUUGAAGAAAACAGAAGACGAUCAUAUGAAUACUGUGUAGACAUCAGUUUGAGACUGAAAAAUAAACAUCACUUGGAGUUUUCAACAUAUUCAGACACCCACCGUCACCCAGAGAAAGAGCAUGAGCAGGAACACCCAUGGUGGGCCUGGGAAUUUCAGAGGAAAACCAAGGGGCCAUCUUGGUUACUGGGUCCUCCUGUUGUUGAUGUGUAAAAAAAUGUGUUGGAUUUUAUUUAUUCUGGUACAAUCAAGACUGCAACCUUCUGUAUGUUUCCUAGUUUCCUUACACAUGACAAAUCAAAUUCAUUUUAAGGACUUUGAGCCUUUGAUUUAAUGCGAAAUCAGAGACUAACUCCCUGGUUGAGGGAUUUGGCACCUUCAGCUGAUCUACUCUAAAAUAACUAUGAAAAAUGGAUUUUAAAUCUGAAGAUUGUAAUCUCAAUGUUUUUAUUUCCAGUAAAAUACUACCUGAGACUGUUUGUGAUUUCUAAUAAUCGAUUAUGGCCAUAGGAUAAAAUGAUAUUACAUGUCCCAUAUCUUUAUCUAUGUCUUCGAAGGUUUUCCCCUGCCUUUUCCAACCCAGAGCUACCUUACCCACCCUCCACACACAUCCACAUAAUUAUGAAAGUAUCAUGUAACGAUUUAAACAGAUUAACUACUUCUGAUAGUUUGUGAAGAAAUGCUACAUCUCUUUUCCAUGAGACUGUAAAACUUUCUCACCAUUCUUAAGUAACAGCAGAAAUAAUAAAAACUAAAAAAAAAAAGUGCAAUUUAA